rnacentral:lncRNA from 1 species
UUGAGCACAGAGCUAUGUCAUCUCCCAACCGGGACCCUGGUAUAAUUCAAACUGAGAUCCACUUUGCUUAGAUACUCAAGAUCCCAGGAGCAUAAUUGAAAAUGUCACACUAAGAACCUCAGAGAAUUGCAGUGGUCAGGCAACACUUGUGUGAAUUUAAUUGACUGGGUCAACAACAAAAGGCUACCGAAUGUCCAGCAUGGUGGUAGAAGAAUCAUAGAAUUCAUCUGCUUUUAUCUCUUUGUGCACAGGUCUGCAUAAUCUGGACUCCUAUCUUUUUGACCAUCUGAUGGCAACUGCAACACAAAAAUAAAAGGACUUAGGAGUUUAUUGGUCUACUAUCUCCUCUAUGCAAAGGUGCGGUGCAAAAAAGAGGCUGAAAAUGGCCAAAAAAGUAAAGAUCAACUUUU